rnacentral:RNase_P_RNA from 1 species
GGAGUCGGCCGGGCGGCCGCGGCCCCGACGGAGACGCCGAGGCCGAGGAAAGUCCGGGCUCCACAGGGCAGGGCGCUGGGGAAAAUCCCAGGCGGGGCGACCCGUGGACAGUGCCACAGAAAACAGACCGCCCCGGCUCGAUUCAAUCGGCCGGGGUAAGGGUGAAACGGUGAGGUAAGAGCUCACCAGCGUGCCGGGCGACCGGUGCGGCUAGGCAAACCCCGUCCGGAGCAAGGCCAAGCAGGAGGUAAGGGCGGCCCGUCCGUCCCGGCUCGCCGGGAUGCCUCCGGGUAGGCCGCUAGAGGCGAGCGGCAACGCUCGUUGCAGAUGGAUGGCCGCCGCGGCCCUCGAAUGAGGGCCGUACAGGACCCGGCUUAUAGGCCGACUCCCGCC